ACUGUAUGUAUUGGUCUAUAUGGUGACACCUGCAGAAAGCCACGCUGAACUGUGAUUGGCUGUUGAAAGAAGCAGUUGAGAGCUUUAGUUUGUUUAGUGUAAGCAGUGUACUGCUGAUCUGUCAAUCUCAUUGAGGAAAACAUCAUUCUACACAAUGUAUAUCUGUGUAUUACUGGUUGUAUUGGAAUUCAUGGGUUCCAGUAUAGGAGACAGUAUUACUCCAUUAUCUACUGUUGUCCACGCAAAGGAGGGUGACAGCGUUCUUAUCUCAUGUAAAUAUCACUACACUGUAUCAAUAAAUAAUCUACAGUGGUAUCUGCAAUAUCCCAACUCUGUGCCGGACUUCCUCGUUCUUAUCAUGGAGUCAGGACAAAAUCAGACCGCUACACCUCCUCAUCCUCGACUGAAAGCUUCAGUUUGGAAAGAAAACAAGACGGUGAAUCUGGAAAUCUUCCCUGCAGAUGUGAAGGACUCAACAGUGUAUUACUGCGCACUGCAGCCCACAGUGAAAGGAAAUGAAUGAACACCAUACAAAAACCUGCUUUUAGCUACAUGAACAACAACAUAUUUAGGAUUUUUUAUAACCAAAAUGGUGACCACAGUCAU